GAAGAAGACGAAGAACAACAACGAUGGUGGCUACUUGAAGGCCCCUUUACUGCAGCUGUCUGUGGGCUGCAGUUCCCGCUUAAAAAGGAGAAGAAGACAUGCAGCAGCUUUGGCUUCCGGUCCGAGAAAACAUGGUGCUUGGUAGGAAACCCCAGAGAGAGGAGCUCUGUUGCGUAGCUGCUGAAGCAUCCGUACCUCCGGCUGAAGCCACGUUAUCUCCUGAUCCAGGUACAGAUGAGGAAAGUAAAAGGAUUGACGUUGUUUGGUGCCAACAACACGCAUUGUCUACAGUCCAAACGGCAACCGUAAGAGGAUCCUAACAGACCUGCCAACCUCUCAGCCUACGAGCAGCAGAAUCCUCUGAGCAGCUGAUAAUUUGGCCAGAACUGUACAGCAGCAGCAGCAGAAGAGGCUGGAUGUCACAGAGUGUACAUAGACCAAUCGCAUCCUGUUUCUGCUCACAUGCUCGCCCUCAGCUGCACUUCACUCCACCCACUACCUUCUCCGUGUCAGAGAAGGAAGUCAAUAGACUGUUUCAGAGGCAGGAACCCUGUAAAGCAGCUGAGCCGGACUAUGUCUCCCCAUCCGCCCUGAAGCGCUGUGCUGAUCGGCUGUCUCCGGUGUUGGCAGACAUUUUUAACACCUUACUGGAGACAUGCCAUGUGCCUGCCUGCUUUAAAGCAUCCACCAUCAUCCCUGUCUCCAAGAAACCAAGGACCACAGGACUAAAUGACUUCAGACCCAUCACCCUGCCCUCUGUGGUAAUGAAGUCCAUCAGGACCAAAACCUCUCGUGACAAAAACACCUUCUUUCCCUCUGCAGCUAGCCUCAUUAAC